AAACCUCUCAAUAAUUUAUUAUUGGUUCUGGGUUUAGAAGGAAUUAAGCUCCUAGAGCUUGCUUCUACCUUAAACUUGCUGCACGACCGCAAGCUAUUGCUAGGUUAAUGAAGUGGUAUUUACAUAUAUUUCAGCUAUCUGCAGAAGCAAGCGGCGUUAAACGCUAUGUUGUUUUACCGCAACUGAA
rnacentral:misc_RNA from 1 species